rnacentral:lncRNA from 1 species
AGCUACUUGCCUCAUUAUCCUUUAAGGGGCCCUUCUAGCUCCUUAUCAGCCCCAAAGGUUAAUUUAAAAUGAUUUUUUCUGCUUGUUUCUUUGAUUCUUUUACUCAACACCUCACAAUUUUGAAUUUUCUCCGAAAAACAAAAUUACAUACAGCUCCUUUCUUUUAAUUUCUGUAACAAGUAAUUCGAUCUAUGAAUAAUAUAGAAAUUUACUAAAUUCCAGAUACAUAAGCUCCAAC